UAAUUAUUAUUAUUUUAAUAAAAAAAUAUUAAUAAUUUAUAAGGAUUAUUAUAUUAUUUUUUAUUCCUUUCAAAUUUUGCUGGUGACUGCUCUUGCAGCAAUGGGAACAAUAACUGUUGGUGCUGUUGUUAAAAAUUAUUUAUCAUGGAAAACAAAGCAAAAGAAAGACACCAGUUCGCUUGGAAGAUCCAACAGCCAAGAAUCAAUUGCCUUUAAUUGAAAAAGAGAUAUUAGUUCAUAUACAAGAAGAUUUAGAUUUGGUUUACGAACACCAGAACAUGUAUCUGGUUUACCACUUGGUCAGCAUGUUCAUUUGAUAGCCACAACUAAUGAUGAAAUUGAUACGACAAGAUCAACAACAGUUAGUCCAAGUAUAAUAAUUGACAAAUGCAAAGAAGACACACUACCAUCAGUACCAAGAAAAUGCACAUGAACUUUGACAUAAUCUUCUUGAGGGUACUAAAGUUGGAUGAUGUCGUCAUUGUCGUCAUAUACCUAUAUUUAAAAGCA